AAAGAUUAAUCCAUGCAUGUGUCACCGUAAGCUUCCACACAGUUCAACUGCGAACGGCUCAUUACAACAGUUACCGUGUCUGCAGUAAUCGAACAUCAUAUGGAUAACUGUGGUAAACCUAGGGCUAAUACAUGCUACAAACCUGACUUUCGAGGAAAGGUUGCGUUUAUCAGACACAGAACUGCCACAGGCUUCGCCUGGCCCACAGGUGAGUCAUGAUGACCGAGCGAAUCGCAUAGCUCCGGCUGGCGAUGGACUGCAUCAGUUUCUGACCUAUCAGCUUCCGACGCUAGGGUAUUGGCCUACCGUGGCAAUGACGGGUGACGGGGGAUUAGGGUUUUAUACCGGAGAGGGAGCUUGACAAACGGCUACCACAUCUAAGGAAGGCAGCAGGCGCGCAAAUUGCCCAAUUCUGGCAUAGAGAGGUAGUGACAAGAAAUAACAAUAUGGGGCAUUACUGUCUUGUAAUUGGAAUGAGCACAUUCUACACCUGUCUGUGAGUAUCAAUUGGAGGGCAAGUCUGGUGCCAGCAGCCGCGGCAAUUCCAGCUCCAAUAGCGUAUAUUAAAGCUGUUGCGGUAAAAAGCUCGUAGUUGGAUUUCUGUUGAGGACAUCCGGUCCGCCCUCCGGGUGAGCAUCUGGUUUGGUCUCGGCAUCUUCUUGGAAAGUGCGACUGCACUUGACUGUGUGGCGCAAUAUCCAGGACGGUCACUUUGAGGAAAUUAGAGUGUUUAAAGCAGGCACAUGCCUUUGAACACACUAGCAUGGAAUAACAACAUUGGACCUCUGCUCUCUUUUGUCAGUUUCUAGAGCUGAGGGGAAGAUUAGUAGGGAUGGUUGGGGGCAUCCGAAUUUAGCUGUCAGAGGUGAAAUUCUUGGAUUUGCUAAAGACGGACAACUGCGAAAGCAUUUGCCCAGGAUGUUUUCAUUGAUCAAGAACGAAAGUUAGGGGAUCGAAGACGAUCAGAUACCGUCCUAGUCUUAACCAUAAACCAUGCCAACUAGGGAUUGGUGGCUGUUCACUGCAUGACUCCUCCAGCACCUGAUGAGAAAUCAAAGUCUUUGGGUUCCGGGGGGAGUAUGGUCGCAAGGCUGAAA
rnacentral:rRNA from 1 species